UUUGAUCUUUUAUUACUAUAUUAUUUAAAAACCAAUUCGAAAAUUUAAAUUACAAGUUUCGAAAUAUUUCGAGAAAGAAAUUAAAUAACAAAUACUCUAAAGAAAAGGUUUAUAUAAUGUCUGUGGAUUGAGGCGUGUAGAGAACUGUCCUAGAAGCGAAAUUGUCCUUCCACGUGCGAGGCUUCCCGGCAAUUACUCCUAGCGAUACAACGACCACGUUCCACCCCGUCAGCACGCUUCCAAGGUGGCACAAGAUGAACCCAACCAGCUUCAGAUCCAGCAAAAGAAUACUCGACGAAAACUCAAAAAGCAGUAAAAGACGAGACGCUUUAGGUAUGCUCGGGUUAUUAUUAAUUAACUCGUGCAAUAUCGCCCCAUAUUUAUAAUCUAGGCGAGAAUCUUAUUUCAACGCGUCAAAUCCUUGUAGAACAAGAUAAGCCUAAGAUUAUACGGAUAAAGAUUAGAAUUAGAAUAAAGAUAAAGAUAAGAAUUAAAAUAAAGAUAAAAUCGAAAAAUAAAAUAAAAUAAACCGGGUGUAUGAACCACGCGCGCCGCCGCCCACCCGGCCCCACUCGGCACGUGCUCGUGCGUGUAUUUAAAUGAGAGCGUUACUCUCAGUUUCUUCCUAGCAACUAGCUUGAGAACAAGAGAGUAUAUAAAAACAACAAACAUUAUUUUAUUUUUCAAUGUGGGACUAAACAUCACAUAUAAAAAUUUUAGUUAGGCUCCCCAAGCGGUCCAUUAACAAUUAUUGGGCUCUCAAGGGGCCUUAACAAGUUUUAAAUCAUAACAAAUCCAAUAAAAUUCAAUAGAAACAACUCCGUCUUCGAGGGAACUCCGCCCAAUGCUACUAGGGCUCUACAACGUGUCAAUCUUUUGAUGAGUGAUUGGACCCCACUGCUCUGAUAUGUAAUUGGACCUUCUCUCUUUCUUUCCUCACCUAACCCGCUAUCUUUCGCUUCUUACUCUUUCUUCUGUUUGUCUCUUUUCUAUCGGAGGCCCUAGCUGCUUCCAUCUUAUAUGCUUAGUUCAUUUUCUUAAUAAAUGAAGCAUGUAGCUUACUACUUAUUUCUCAAAAAAAAAUUACCGUUCUAUAAUAUAUCCUUUAUCAUUUCUUAUUUUGCAAAGAAUAUAAUUUGCUAUCAUACUUAACAACAAGCAUUUAUGAUGAAAUUAAUAUAAAAUUACAGAAUAAUUAAAUCAAA
rnacentral:lncRNA from 1 species